CGCAGGCCUCGAUCGUGGAGAAUCCCAGCCUGCUCGAGGCCAGCUACAUCGGCCGCCUGCUGGACGACCCGGCCAUCAUCGGCUGGGCCUGCGA
rnacentral:tRNA from 1 species